CCUACGGGUGGCAGCAGUGAGGAAUAUUGGUCAAUGGGCGGGAGCCUGAACCAGCCAAGUCGCGUGAAGGAAGAAGGUACUUAGUAUUGUAAACUUCUUUUGUCGGGGAACAAAGGCGGAGACGCGUCUCCGGAUGAGUGUACCCGAAGAAAAAGCAUCGGCUAACUCCGUGCCAGCAGCCGCGGUAAUACGGAGGAUGCGAGCGUUAUCCGGAUUUAUUGGGUUUAAAGGGUGCGCAGGCGGAGGUGCAAGUCAGCGGUCAAAUUGCGGGGCUCAACCCCGUACUGCCGUUGAAACUGCAUCCCUUGAGUGCGCGAGAAGUAUGCGGAAUGCGUGGUGUAGCGGUGAAAUGCAUAGAUAUCACGCAGAACUCCGAUUGCGAAGGCAGCAUACCGGCGCGCAACUGACGCUCAUGCACGAAAGCGUGGGUAUCGAACAGGAUUAGAUACCCCGGUAGUC
rnacentral:rRNA from 1 species